rnacentral:rRNA from 1 species
GACGUAGGAUGCAAGCGUUGUCCGGAUUUAUUGGGCGUAAAGAGUUCGUAGGCGGUUUGUUAAGUUCGAUGUUAAAGAUCAGGGCUCAACCCUGAGAGUGCGUUGAAUACUGACAGACUCGAGUGCGGUAGAGGUAAGUGGAAUUUCUGGUGUAGCGGUGAAAUGCGUAGAUAUCAGAAAGAACACCGGUGGCGUAAGCGACUUACUGGGCCGUAACUGACGCUGAGGAACGAAAGCCAGGGGAGCAAAUGGG